rnacentral:lncRNA from 1 species
UCUACGCCGCCGUUGUCGUCCUCUUCUCCGUCGCGAGUAAUGCAAAUUCUCUUCUCUUCCUCCUCCUUCUCCUCCUCUCCUCAAAUCCCAAUUUUGAAACCCUAGACUGUGUCGAUACCAGAGGCUGUUGAAAGAGCACAACUAUUCAAAUAAACAAGACAAACAAAAACAAGCAACAGGAAUAAAUGGGGAAGGGAACCUUCUUUUCCUCCCUCAAGCGAAGUCG